UCAACUGUUCCAUCCAACUCUUCAGCAGUCCUACACGACAUAAAAGAACGUUCCCGAUAACAGGAAGUGGUAACUUUCGCAACGGUUAUCAUUACACAUGUGCUUGUUCGUGCGUCAGCACGCUUGUCCAAAAAAAUAAACAAAUUUCUGCAGUUCAGUGACGCCCAUUUUGGUUCUUCGUCCAAUCACCGAAUCUGUAAGCAGCUUUAAAAAGGAAUGACAGUUCCUCGCUCGCAACAUGCCAUCGCAGUUUCGUGCAGCGUGUAGGCGGAGUGCCUGAAUUACCAAACCACAAAGGCCAUCCCAGGGAGACUAAGACUGCUUACGGUUGGAGACAGCGUCGCCGAUCUAAGGAAUCUGGCACUUCUGUGGACCGGUCUUCAAAAAGACGGGGACAAGUGAAAAGCACGAUGGGCGGACUGUUUUCGUGCUGCUGUCCUCCACUAUCGGAAACGGAUGAGCGGUCGGCGCUUACAUCUCGUUUAGACGCCGAGACUACCGCGCCAGAGUACCGAUCUAUCGCGUCCAACAUCGAGGAGUUUAACACGCCGGCACCAGAAGCGCAGGCGCCAUCAUCGCCACCUGAAGCGCAGGCGUCAUCGUCACCACCAAAAGCGCAGGCGUCAUUGUCACCACCAGAAGCGCAGGCGCCAUCGUCGCCAACGCCUUCGCCACCGCAAUCGUCGCCAUCACCUUCAUCGCCUUCGCCACCGCUAUCGCCCUCGCCACCGCCGUCGCCAGCCCUGGAUCCACCGGAACGACCCACAACAACGAGGGCGAGGUCCGUUACCUUCAGUGAGGAAGUGUCAGCAGCCGACUCUGAAGUCUCCGUUAGGCAGCGCUCUGCAUCUGACGUCGAAGCCAGCAACAGCGCGGUGCUCCAAGGCCAGGCGACGAACGCUUCGUCCGAGUUCGGCCAGAGCAGCUGCUGAGAGAAGCUCGUCACGCCUGCACUUGUCUUCGAGGAACGAAAUGUUUCCGUCCCCGCUCUUCGGUCCGGCGUCUUGGCUGACGUCUUUCUGCUGCAUGUUGCAUCUUCGCUACAGAGCACACCUGCAUUCAUUACCGUUGUGAUGCAUGGCUUUAUAUAUUUAUGCCCAUGCAUGCUUGCCAAUGCUUGUGCAUCCCCUAUUUGAGGAAUAAAGCUUUCAUUUUAGCCUUCA